rnacentral:misc_RNA from 1 species
GUUUUCUCUGCAGCAUCCUUGUAUGGAGCUUCAUCCCAGGGGCUUUCUGGUGCAGUAGAAAAAAUAUCCUCAAGUUCUACUGGUCGCAGGUUAUUAUCGUAAUCACUAUCGAACAAUUCGUAGAUUCCCUUCAAAAACUCGAUAGUUUCAUUUGUAAGCUCCACACUCUGAUCAGGAGCUCGUUUGAAGGUUGGAAUUAGCUCAUCAGCAAGUU